AAAAAGACAAACCCUGGGUUUCCGUGUCCAACGUUUGACCGUCCGUCUUAUUUGAAAAAAUUAUAAAAAAAUUAAAAAGAUAAGUCACGCAUAAAGUUUUAAUCAUGUUUUAUCAUCUAACAACAAUGAAAAUACUAAUUAUAAAAAAAUUUCAUAUAAAACGGACAGUCAAACGUUGGACACGGAAACCCAGGGUUUGUCUUUUU
rnacentral:pre_miRNA from 1 species